rnacentral:rRNA from 1 species
AUUGAACGCUGGCGGAAUGCUUUACACAUGCAAGUCGAACGGCAGCACGGACUUCGGUCUGGUGGCGAGUGGCGAACGGGUGAGUAAUGUAUCGGAACGUGCCCAGUCGGGGGGGAUAACGUAGUGAAAAUUACGCUAAUACCGCAUACGAUCUAUGGAUGAAAGCGGGGGAUCGCAAGCCCUCGCGCGAUUGGAGCGGCCGAUAUCAGAUUAGGUAGUUGGUGGGGUAAAGGCCCACCAAGCCAACGAUCUGUAGCUGGUCUGAGAGGACGACCAGCCACACUGGAACUGAGACACGGUCCAGACUCCUACGGGAGGCAGCAGUGGGGAAUUUUGGACAAUGGCGAAAGCCUGAUCCAGCCAUUCCGCGUGCAGGAUGAAGGCCCUCGGGUUGUAAACUGCUUUUGUACAGAACGAAAAGGUUCCUACUAAUACUAGGAGCUCAUGACGGUACGUAAGAAUAAGCACCGGCUAACUACGUGCCAGCAGCCGCGGUAA